rnacentral:rRNA from 1 species
CGGUCCAGACUCCUACGGGAGGCAGCAGUGGGGAAUAUUGCACAAUGGGCGCAAGCCUGAUGCAGCCAUGCCGCGUGUGUGAAGAAGGCCUUCGGGUUGUAAAGCACUUUCAGCGGGGAGGAAGGCGUUAAGGUUAAUAACCUCAUCGAUUGACGUUACCCGCAGAAGAAGCACCGGCUAACUCCGUGCCAGCAGCCGCGGUAAUACGGAGGGUGCAAGCGUUAAUCGGAAUUACUGGGCGUAAAGCGCACGCAGGC